GCUUUAUCUUAAUUGGAGCUCUCAGGCUCUUAUACGAUUUUGAUGGGAGAUCAGUAGAAAUAAGUCUUCUACUAUUAUAUUAAUCUUACUAGUAUUUCCUAACUUUAUAUGUGUGGCUAGCUACUCUAGGGAUAACAGCGCAAUUUCUCCCGAAAGAUGGUAUUGGAGGGGAAGAUUGCGACCUCGAUGUUGGCUUUAGAUAUCCUAGAGGCGUAUAAGCUUCU
rnacentral:rRNA from 1 species